AGUUUGAUCCUGGCUCAGGAUGAACGCUGGCGGCGUGCUUAACACAUGCAAGUCGAACGAAGCAUUUAAGACAGAUUACUUCGGUUUGAAGUCUUUUAUGACUGAGUGGCGGACGGGUGAGUAACGCGUGGGUAACCUGCCUCAUACAGGGGGAUAGCAGCUGGAAACGGCUGGUAAUACCGCAUAAGCGCACAGUACCACAUGGUACAGUGUGAAAAACUCCGGUGGUAUGAGAUGGACCCGCGUCUGAUUAGCUAGUUGGCGGGGUAACGGCCCACCAAGGCGACGAUCAGUAGCCGACCUGAGAGGGUGACCGGCCACAUUGGGACUGAGACACGGCCCAGACUCCUACGGGAGGCAGCAGUGGGGAAUAUUGCACAAUGGAGGAAACUCUGAUGCAGCGACGCCGCGUGAGUGAAGAAGUAGUUCGCUAUGUAAAGCUCUAUCAGCAGGGAAGAUAGUGACGGUACCUGACUAAGAAGCUCCGGCUAAAUACGUGCCAGCAGCCGCGGUAAUACGUAUGGAGCAAGCGUUAUCCGGAUUUACUGGGUGUAAAGGGAGUGUAGGUGGCCAGGCAAGUCAGAAGUGAAAGCCCGGGGCUCAACCCCGGGACUGCUUUUGAAACUGCAGGGCUAGAGUGCAGGAGGGGCAAGUGGAAUUCCUAGUGUAGCGGUGAAAUGCGUAGAUAUUAGGAGGAACACCAGUGGCGAAGGCGGCUUGCUGGACUGUAACUGACACUGAGGCUCGAAAGCGUGGGGAGCAAACAGGAUUAGAUACCCUGGUAGUUCACGCCGUAAACGAUGAAUACUAGGUGUCGGGGCACAUAAGUGCUCCGGUGCCGCAGCAAACGCAAUAAGUAUUCCACCUGGGGAGUACGUUCGCAAGAAUGAAACUCAAAGGAAUUGACGG
rnacentral:rRNA from 1 species